UCCUGGACCUGGAGCGUCCACUGAGCGGCGCCGCAGCCCGCAACUUCCGCAUGGAGGCAUCCAGGCAGCCAGCCGGUGCUUCCUCCCUGCGACACUCUGCAGGCCAACCCGCUCCCUCACUCUCUCCGUGUUGGGUUACAGUGACAAGGGCCCUGUCUGAACCACGACUUUUAGAAAGAUAAUAUUACAGGACUACAGCUGAUCCUUCUCCUGGUACACAAUUGAGACUGAGGAGGUUAAAGCUCUCUGAACGCAUGGGACCAUAUUGCAGGUGUUUGUGCCUGUCGGCAGGGUCUUGGUCUUCUGUUCCCUCCUGCUCCCCCUCCGCACUGCAAGACAAUGAGCCUCAGACACAGCGCCUCCCAGCACUCCUCCAUGUUCUCCUCCAUCUGCCUCCUGUCCAUUGAUCAGCCUUCCAGGGCAUCAGUCUGUUUAACAUCUGCUACAAGUUCCAGCAGCUCAGCUGCGCAGAGGCUGUAAUGAAGAGCUCUUGGCCUGGCAGUCAGGGAAGCUGUGACAGGAGUUCAGGAGGCCCUGCAGGAUGCACAACACACAGAGAGGGACCUCCACUGUGGAUGAAAUUUAGCCCUGACCUCUGACCCUUGGGUUCAGCGUUUGUCUCCAGUCCAGUGACCACAAACAACUCCUGGAUUGCUGUAAAUAUGAUAUCGCACAGCUCGCUGCGACAAGAUUCCCAAACGGCUCGUCUCCUCUACAGAGAAACAUGUCGCCUGACCAUGUCACCAAGCUACACCCAAAUAUUGUGCAUUGUUGCUAAAGAGAGGUCAGGAAACCAGCGAGUCAGUUUUUUUUUUCAGGCUGUGUUCUCUAAUUAAGUAUUCAUGAAGCAGCAGUGGGAGCAAAGUAUAGGUUUACACUACACCGGUGGUUCCCCCUCCCUCCCUGGUGUGUGCAGCCCUCAGCCUCCCCCCUGCUGCCCUCAGACAGGCCAUCAUUCCUAGUGUACUUCCAGCAAUGAUAUCAAAAAGGUUUUCUUUUUUUUUGGUCAAGCCAAAGAGAGGUCACUCUAAUAAUACCCAAGGUCAGUGGUGGGAGCCAGCUAGUCUCCCAGUCAUUAUUCAUUUGUUCACAGAGUUAAUGACAGUUGCAGGGGGAUGAGAACUUGGAGCCAGCAGCCAUGUGAUGUCACCAACACAUGCCAAGGGAUUAGGAGGGCAGGCAGAGGACAAGAAGUGUGGAUUAUAAAGGGAAAAAAAAUAAUAACAACAGCCUUUAUUGUUCAGGUCACUGAACUCUUUAUGUUUUACUGCUGGAGCUGUGACAAAAACAUGCAGAUACACAGUUUCUGUGAAUUAUGACAAGUAGUCAGCCUUUAAAGUAAGAGGAAGCUAAAACUGUGUUUUUAUUCAUCUCUUCAUAUUCCACUUGGAAAUUCUUUUGGGAAAUCAUUUAUCAAGUUUAAUGCCUUCAGCUUGAUGAAAGCAUGUUCAGAAACCAUCAUUUAUCCGAAGUCUUUUGGUUUUAAUGAUUACUACACUUUGUUAUUUUAGUACCUCUUUAAAUCACAGUAAUUCAUAGUCACCACGUUUUAUAUGAGUCUGCAAUGCUGGUUAAAAACUGGUGGGAAUGAACAAUGAACACACCUUAUUCAGGCAGCGCCCAUGCAGUGAACAAUGAACCCCUCCCUCCUGUCUAGCACCAUGUCUGAUAAUGACCACAUCCACCAGCUCUGAUAGCGCUCCUCUUUUAUGACCUACAUGAGCAUAAAUACGGCUCAGAUAAAACCUUUCAGGGAGGAUAUUGAGAAUAUGAUCAGCUCUGCACCAGCAGCAACACCAAGUGUAAUUUUUUAAUGUUAUAUAAAAAGCCACAUGUUGCAUGUGCAGAAUACCUGCUGGUCACUUGAUCCAUGAAGGGAAAUAUGUGGGUUUUUGCUUUAGGCAUUGAAAAAAAUGCUCCAUAUGUUGUUUUCUCUAAGCAACAUUUAGUGGAAGUCUUUGUUGCAGAGCAGCACCUCUUUAAACUGCUCUCUUGUUCUCUCUGUCACAUCUGCUGAAUAAUUAGACAGAAAAUAGUCUGCUUUUUGACUAAUUCUGCUGCAGGAGUCUGGGUGCCUCAACACCUAACAUGCAGAUACAGUAGAUUCCCUGUUUGAGCAGAAGGUCAGGGUAUAAAUCUGAACUGCGUUUUGCAUUACUUUCAGAUGAGUGAAGCUGUCAGAGCGAUAAUAUGAGCUUUCAGUCCUACUUUCUGCCACUUCUCCCCCAUUCUAGGACCGAGGGGUCAUGUGAAAAUUGAAAGUGACAGUCAAAGCAGCAUGUUGAACAGGCUGAUUGGGCUAAGCUGUCACGGCCCAGAUCAGAGCUCUUUAACACCAGGCCUAUCAGAGGUCCUUCUGUUACAGCUGCGUGAUCCAAAAAAUAAAAGCCUGACAAGGAAAAUAAAAUAAAAGCCUAAAUCUGUGAGGUGCAAAUCUGCAAAGCUUUGAUUUAUAAGCAUAUUUAUACAAGAUUUUAUACAUUCUUAGUACAAUGAUCACCAAACUUUAUUAACCAGAAAGGCAAACUUUGAGAAAGUUGUCUAAAAAAUCUCGACACUGCAAGUUCACUGAGGGGCUUCUCUCUCAUUUCUGCUCUUAGUUGAAUGAAGUCCACUGUUUUUGCCUUUGUGCUUGUUUGAAUGAAAAUGUUUGUAUCACCUGUUUUGUGGAUGAUUUAAUGAGCACAUGACGCUGUCAGAUGAAAGAAUUUUACUUUGUGGCAAGCAUUCCCUGUCAAUUUAUAUUUAGUUUCAUAUGUAGCUUUGCAUGAAGCUCCGUCAAAAGCAAUCAGGCUGCUGUCGUCCAUUCAGAUGAUAAUAAAUCACGUCAUUAUCACUUUU